rnacentral:rRNA from 1 species
UACGAGGGGGGCGAGCGUUGUUCGGAUUCAUUGGGCGUAAAGGGUGCGUAGGUGGCGCGGUAAGUCGGGUGUGAAAUUUCGGAGCUUAACUCCGAAACUGCAUUCGAUACUGCCGUGCUUGAGGACUGGAGAGGAGACUGGAAUUUACGGUGUAGCAGUGAAAUGCGUAGAGAUCGUAAGGAAGACCAGUGGCGAAGGCGGGUCUCUGGACAGUUCCUGACACUGAGGCACGAAGGCCAGGGGAGCAAACGGG